rnacentral:rRNA from 1 species
GAUGAACGCUGGCGGCGUGCCUAAUACAUGCAAGUCGAGCGAGAAUUUUUCAAAUGACACUUCGGUUGAUUUUGGAAAAGGACAGCGGCGGACGGGUGAGUAACGCGUAGGCAACCUGCCCCUGACAGAGGGAUAGCCAUUGGAAACGAUGAUUAAAACCUCAUAACGCCGAAGGAACACAUGUUUCAUCGGCCAAAGAUUUAACGGUCAGGGAUGGGCCUGCGUCUGAUUAACUAGUUGGGGAGGUAACGGCCCACCAAGGUGACGAGCAGUAGCCGACCUGGGAGGGUGAUCGGCCACAUUGGAACUGAGACACGGUCCAAACUUCUACGGAAGGCAGCAGUAGGGAAUCUUGCACAAUGGGCGAAAGCCUGACGCAGCAACGCCGCGUGGGGGAUGAAGGCCUUCGGGUCGUAAACCUCUUUCAGCAGGGACGAAACUGACUGUACCUGCAGAAGAAGCCCCGGCUAACUACGUGCCAGCAGCCGCAGUAAAAC